ensembl:miRNA MIR5186 microRNA 5186
UCAGCCAGCUUAUGACUUGACCCUCUCACCUGAUUUCUACCAACCUUUCCUCAGCUGAUUUCUUUCUGGGGAGAGAUUGGUAGAAAUCAGGUGAGAGGGUCAUGCCAUAAGCUGGCUAAC